UUUGGUUAAAUUAUAUAUUUAGCUAUUUGUUCACCAUUGAAUAAUUUGAAUCGACCAGGUGCAAGCUGUUUGGCUUGUAUAUGAUGUUUUAUUUUCUUGCUAUUUUACUUACAGUAGAUUUAUUAAGAAUAUUAAGGUAUCUGGGCUCCAUUAGUUGUCCUGCCUUUAACCUGUUAAAAAGCUAGGGUAGAUGCCGGUGACGUAAGCAUCUUUAGGAAGACAGUCGGGCCUGGAGCAACACAUUUUCUGACCGUGCCACCUGUUACGUGGAUAGUGUAAUGUAUUAUAGUGUUAAUGGGCUGACGUUACACUACUUUGUCAUUUUUUUUGUAACGCCUUAAUACUUUGUGUUCAAGAGGAAAUAAAGCGAAGCCCUUUUUUUUUUUUGUCGUCGUCGUUGCUGAACGGAAAAGCCCGUCGAAGAAAGGCACGAGUCGGGAACCUUCAUGCCCUGCUGACGUAGUGACAAAAAGACAGACCGAAAUCUUUGUGAAAAGGUGUAAUCACAAGCAUCAUCAAGAGGCACCAACCACCGCGCGUCGUCUGGUUCUCAACUUCUCUCCUCCUCGCCUGGCUGCAAGUCUCGCCGGCCCUCAGGAUUCCGUUUACACAGUCACGGCAAUAUCCCGCCUUUGCUUGAGUACGUAUAAAAAGCGUAGUCGGUUAAAUUACGGACUUUCAGUAACGGCUGUGACAUAUCGAUUAAGCGCGAUCUCUUUCGUUCAUCUUGUUGCGUUGAAAGCACUUGUUGCUGUCUGACAAUUUUUUUUUUUUUUUUUUUUUUUGCAUGACUGUCUUGGCAAAGCCCCUCCUGCUUGGGUCUGUAUUCCAAGGAACUGUCAGGACCUUCUGAUACCGCCCGAUGUGACAAUUUGGCAGACUCUUUGGAGGGCUCAAUCGUCCGCGACCCCCUGUGACCUACGGUGAAGGCGCAUCUCGGGAGAGGCAACAAGGCUUCACGGCCCAUUUAAAGACACGACGUGCUUCCUCAUCGCUAAGA